rnacentral:sRNA from 2 species
CUCUCACAGUGUCUCGCGUCAAGGUUUGUCGAUGACUAAGUGCUUGGACAGCAUUUUUUGGGAAAUAGUAUGUACGAUGCUCACAAGAAAUAUUAUAAAAAUGGAUUGCUUGAUCUCGCUAUUAUUUUCAAUAUUUUAGAAACUCACAGGCAACCACAUCCACACACAUUACAAUGAGGGGAAGGGGGAAUCUGACUCUGGGGCCAUUCGCAGACCAGCCGGCGGGUAUAUAUACAAUAAACAGUUCACGACAGGGGGGUAAAGGAGAAAAGCUCAUAUAGCAUUCAAAACAUGGAAACAGGUACCUGGCAAAAAAGAGAGAGAGAAAGAAAAGAAAAGGAGAAGGAGAGAGAGAGAAGUUCUCUUGUCCUGACACCUCGAAUCUCCUCUUCAUCAAGGGCAAACGCCUGUCGAUAUCAUACACAGCUUUCAAAAACACCACUCACAACCCGAAAAUUGCAAAGGCAGCAACUACCAAUCCAGAGAGGGUUGCAGCAUGGGAAAUUUGCUGGGGUGCUGCGUUGCCUGUAGAUAUGAACGGAUCAGCGGUUUGGGUCGGUGUUGGCCUGCCUGAAGAAACGGUAGACGAAAUAGAUCCGUCGGAGGGGAGAGCUAUUCCGCUACCACCGUUGCCGCCAGGCGUUGGGUAUAUACCCCCGGUUGGGAGUGAGCCGCCGGUCGGGAGGGGUGUAGGGUUGUCGGCCCCUUCGCUGCCACCGCCGCUAGAACCUCCUUCUCCACUCAUAGCGAUGGAUCGGAAUGCUUCGAUGUUCUUAUCUUGUGCUUCAGGGCUAGAGGGAAGAGAAAAUAUGUUAGAAUAUUACAGACAACACUUCGCAGCGUUUAGAUGACAGAUGGGUUUGUCAAUGAAAGGUGGGGAAACGGAACAGGUAAACAUGAUACGUACGGAUUGAUAACCAUGACCAUGCCAUUCUGGCAAUGAUUUUUCUGGCCACAGAACAACCAUACAGGGCUGCUGUCGUUGAUCAUAAUCGUGAACACGGGCAUUUCUGUAGCAUCAGCCGACACGGGUAGGAACCCAGAUCGAAUACCUGUUCCGCCGCCGAUGGGCGAACAGGGGCUAUCAAAAGUGGACUGCGCAACGGAGUGAUUCUAUUAUAGAUAUGACGAUUAUUAGAAGCCUGCUUUCCCGAUUCCAGAGAGGAUAUUUCGCCCGGAUUUACAGCUUCUUACCGCUGGAUGGAACUGAAACUGGACCAUCGAGCCAGGUUCAGCCUUAAGAGAAUCCGGAUAGAACCUCUUGCUGCCUUCUGCAUUGCCAACUUGAACAGCAUGGACGGUAACCAUGCCCUCUGGCGACUGCCGUUUCGUCGGCGCCCAUCCGGCAAUGAUUUCGUCCUCGACUUGGGCAUAGAUUCCUGUUGCCAAAAACACAGUCGAUGCCAGCACUCCCCUGAGCAACAUUUUUGUCGAUGUGUAUUUUCUGUUUUGUCUAAUUUACGCUGGUAAACGGAUGGACAAUUUCCCGAUAUUGUAUAGGGAGAAAGAGAGGGGGAAAGCAAUAGAUAGAUAGAUAUAUAUAUUUAUAGAAUACAAGCGACUAGCGCUUUGAUGUUGUGGAAGUGAACGAGUGAAAAUAUGCGUAGAAGAGAAUAAAUAUAUAGAGAAUAUAUAUGAAGAAGCAAAAAUAGAAAAAAUUGAGACAGGAAGAAAAGAAAUCAGUUUUCGUCUUCCAGAGAGUGAUGAAAGAAAGAAUAGAGAGGAGGGUUGGAUA